rnacentral:lncRNA from 1 species
GCGCAUGUACUCGGGAUGGUGACAGACUUGCUUUGGGCCGACCAAACGCUACUUCACGACUGGGUAGUUACAAAGGUAGAUUUUGGGCUUGUCCAGACCCAUGUCGCGAUUCAUGAUCCAGCAGGAGGUGAUUUGCCCCUCCGAUGAGGAGAGAUGUGCUCUGGGGGCCCUUGGGUGAUCCGACCUGGAUAAGCAUGGUCGUGCGAUGAGGAUUAUGAGAUAAUCCGAAGUGCUGGUUGGAUUCACCGAAACAAGAAAGAGGUCGUGCUGCUAC